AGCAGAAUAAGCAGACGUGUGACAGUCAGGCGGAUUUGACUUUCCUACCAUAAAGAAUGCUGUCAACAUGUGUUAAUCCAAGGCCAACCCAAGAUGGGCUGAGGACUGAGGACAAAACACUAUUAAAGUCCCUUUCUAGAUGCUGUCAACGUGUGUUUAUCCAAGGCAAGGUGGAAGAGCUGAGGACAAAACAAC